rnacentral:rRNA from 1 species
CCCGCUGAACUUAAGCAUAUCAAUAAGCGGAGGAAAAGAAACCAACAGGGAUUACCCUAGUAACGGCGAGUGAAGCGGUAACAGCUCAAAUUUGAAAUCUAACCUUCACGGGUUCGAGUUGUAAUUUGUAGAGGAUGUUUCGGAUAAGGCUUUGGUUUAAGUUUCUUGGAACAGAACGUCAUAGAGGGUGAGAGUCCCGUCUAGAACCGAUAGCCGCUUCCAUGUGAAACUUCUUUCGACGAGUCGAGUUGUUUGGGAAUGCAGCUCAAAAUGGGUGGUAAAUUUCAUCUAAAGCUAAAUAUUGGCCAGAGACCGAUAGCGCACAAGUAGAGUGAUCGAAAGAUGAAAAGCACUUUGAAAAGAGAGUUAAACAGUAUGUGAAAUUGUUGAAAGGGAAGCGCUUGCAACCAGACUUGUGUUUAAUGGUUCCCUCUGAUCUUUUUGAUCGAGCUAUUCCGUUAUAUCCAGGCCAGCAUCGGUUCAAGUGGUUGGUUAAAGAUUUUAGGAAUGUAUCUACCUUCGGGUCGACUUAUAGCCUAGAAUGUAAUGCAACCUAUUUGGACCAGAGAACGCGCUUUUUUGCUCUGAUGCUGGCAUAAUGGUUGUGAGCGGCCCGUCUUGAAACACGG